rnacentral:rRNA from 1 species
UACGUAGGGCGCAAGCGUUGUCCGGAAUUAUUGGGCGUAAAGAGCUCGUAGGCGGUUUGUCGCGUCUGCUGUCAAAACCUAAGGCUCAACCUUGGGCUUGCAGUGGGUACGGGCAGACUAGAGUGCGGUAGGGGUGACUGGAAUUCCUGGUGUAGCGGUGGAAUGCGCAGAUAUCAGGAGGAACACCGAUGGCGAAGGCAGGUCACUGGGCCGCAACUGACGCUGAGGAGCGAAAGCAUGGGGAGCGAACAGG